rnacentral:rRNA from 1 species
UACGUAGGGUGCGAGCGUUAAUCGGAAUUACUGGGCGUAAAGCGUGCGUAGGCGGUUCGUUGUGUCUGUGGUGAAAGCCCCGGGCUUAACCUGGGAAUGGCCAUGGAAACUGGCGAGCUGGAGUGUGGCAGAGGGGGGUGGGAAUUCCACGUGUAGCAGUGAAAUGCGUAGAGAUGUGGAGGAACACCGAUGGCGAAGGCAGCCCCCUGGGCUAACACUGACGCUCAUGCACGAAAGCGUGGGGAGCAAACAGG